AUUGAACGCUGGCGGCAUGCCUUACACAUGCAAGUCGAACGGUAACAGGUCUUCGGAUGCUGACGAGUGGCGAACGGGUGAGUAAUACAUCGGAACGUGCCUAGUAGUGGGGGAUAACUACUCGAAAGAGUGGCUAAUACCGCAUGAGAUCUACGGAUGAAAGCAGGGGAUCGCAAGACCUUGUGCUACUAGAGCGGCCGGUGGCAGAUUAGGUAGUUGGUGGGUUAAAAGCUUACCAAGCCGACGAUCGGUAGCUGGUCUGAGAGGACGAUCAGCCAAGCUGGGACUGAGACACGGCCCAGACUCCUACGGGAGGCAGCAGUGGGGAAUUUUGGACAAUGGGCGCAAGCCUGAUCCAGCAAUGCCGCGUGCAGGAUGAAGGCCUUCGGGUUGUAAACUGCUUGUGUACGGAACGAAAAGCCCUGGGUUAAUACCCUGGGGUCAUGACGGUACCGUAAGAAUAAGCACCGGCUAACUACGUGCCAGCAGCCGCCGUAAUAC
rnacentral:rRNA from 1 species